rnacentral:rRNA from 1 species
UCAGGAGGGACGAAGCCACUCGGGUUAAUAGCCCAGAGGGUGACGGUACCUCCAGAAGAAGCCCCGGCUAACUACGUGCCAGCAGCCGCGGUAAUACGUAGGGGGCAAGCGUUGUCCGGAUUUAUUGGGCGUAAAGAGCGUGUAGGCGGCCAGGUAGGUCAGCUGUGAAAACUCGAGGCUCAACCUCGAGACGCCGGUUGAAACCAUCUGGCUAGAGUCCGGAAGAGGAGAGUGGAAUUCCUGGUGUAGCGGUGAAAUGCGCAGAUAUCAGGAGGAACACCGGUGGCGAAGGCGGGUCUCUGGGCCGAUACUGACGCUGAGACGCGAAAGCGUGGGGAGCGAACAGGAUUAGAUACCCUGGUAGUCCACGCCGUAAACGAUGGGUGCUAGGUGUGGGAGGUGUCGACUCCUUCCGUGCCGAAGCUAACGCAUUAAGCACCCCGCCUGGGGAGUACGGCCGCAAGGCUAAAACUCAAAGGAAUUGACGGGGGCCCGCACAAGCAGCGGAGCAUGUGGUUUAAUUCGACGCGACGCGAAGAACCUUACCUGGUCUUGACAUGCACGGGAAUGUCGUGGAAACACGCCAGCCCUUCGGGGCUCGUGCACAGGUGUUGCAUGGC